UACGAAGGGGGCUAGCGUUGUUCGGAUUUACUGGGCGUAAAGCGCACGUAGGCGGAUCGUUAAGUCGGGGGUGAAAUCCUGGAGCUCAACUCCAGAACUGCCUUCGAUACUGGCGAUCUUGAGUCCGGAAGAGGUGAGUGGAACUCCUAGUGUAGAGGUGGAAUUCGUAGAUAUUAGGAAGAACACCAGUGGCGAAGGCGGCUCACUGGCCCGGUACUGACGCUGAGGCGCGAAAGCGUGGGGAGCAAACAGG
rnacentral:rRNA from 1 species